CGAAGAGAUUGUUAUCCCACGAGAACAAUAUGGCCGGUGCGAGUGGUUUAGUUGCUUUUCUUCUUCUUUCAUCCAUGAUAGUCUCCGCAGCACCUGCAACAUUAAUACCAAGAUGUGGCGAAUAUUUUCAUUCAUGGGGUGAGCACGACUCCUGCAUUCCUCCUGAAAAUGAUGAGUGCGACUCAUGGUGCAAGAUCGAUGUGCCAGAGGGGCAUGCGAGCUCAAGCGAGGAAAACAUUAUUGCCAUUGUUACAAGAACUGAAUUUUUUUACUGCUUAAUAAUUUUUUGGAAGCUAUUUGUAAUAAGAAGUAUAAGUUACUUCAGAUAA